rnacentral:rRNA from 1 species
GGGUGAGUAACACGUGGGCAACCUGCCCAAAAGAGGGGGAUAACACUUGGAAACAGGUGCUAAUACCGCAUAACCAUAGUUACCGCAUGGUAACUAUGUAAAAGGUGGCUAUGUACCGCCUUUGGAUGGGCCCGCGGCGCAUUAGCUAGUUGGUGGGGUAAAGGCUUACCAAGGCAAUGAUGCGUAGCCGAACUGAGAGGUUGAUCGGCCACAUUGGGACUGAGACACGGCCCAAACUCCUACGGGAGGCAGCAGUAGGGAAUCUUCCACAAUGGGCGAAAGCCUGAUGGAGCAACGCCGCGUGGGUGAAGAAGGUCUUCGGAUCGUAAAACCCUGUUGUUAGAGAAGAAAGUGCGUGAGAGUAACUGUUCACGUUUCGACGGUAUCUAACCAGAAAGCCACGGCUAACUACGUGCCAGCAGCCGCGGUAAUACGUAGGUGGCAAGCGUUAUCCGGAUUUAUUGGGCGUAAAGGGAACGCAGGCGGUCUUUUAAGUCUGAUGUGAAAGCCUUCGGCUUAACCGGAGUAGUGCAUUGGAAACUGGGAGACUUGAGUGCAGAAGAGGAGAGUGGAACUCCAUGUGUAGCGGUGAAAUGCGUAGAUAUAUGGAAGAACACCAGUGGCGAAAGCGGCUCUCUGGUCUGUAACUGACGCUGAGGUUCGAAAGCGUGGGUAGCAAACAGGAUUAGAUACCCUGGUAGUCCACGCCGUAAACGAUG